CCUACGGGAGGCAGCAGUGGGGAAUAUUGGACAAUGGGCGCAAGCCUGAUCCAGCCAUACCGCGUGGGUGAAGAAGGCCUUCGGGUUGUAAAGCCCUUUUGUUGGGAAAGAAAAGCAGUCGAUUAAUACUCGGUUGUUCUGACGGUACCCAAAGAAUAAGCACCGGCUAACUUCGUGCCAGCAGCCGCGGUAAUACGAAGGGUGCAAGCGUUACUCGGAAUUACUGGGCGUAAAGCGUGCGUAGGUGGUUGUUUAAGUCUGUUGUGAAAGCCCUGGGCUCAACCUGGGAAUUGCAGUGGAUACUGGGCGACUAGAGUGUGGUAGAGGGUAGUGGAAUUCCCGGUGUAGCAGUGAAAUGCGUAGAGAUCGGGAGGAACAUCCAUGGCGAAGGCAGCUACCUGGACCAACACUGACACUGAGGCACGAAAGCGUGGGGAGCAAACAGGAUUAGAUACCCUGGUAGUCCACGCCCUAAACGAUGCGAACUGGAUGUUGGGUGCAAAUUUGGCACGCAGUAUCGAAGCUAAACGCGUUAAAGUUCGCCGCCUGGGGAGUACGGUCGCAAGACUGAAAACUCAAAANAGAAGUUAGAGGCGUGAGAGUAGCCGAACGGACGACACGAGGGAGGAGGG
rnacentral:rRNA from 1 species